CCUAAGAGAUACGUGUUAUGUGCAGUGCUCACACAGAUUGUCUGAUGAAGAACGAGCAAAAGCGCGUCUGCGAAGCUGACAAAAGUCCCCUUCGUCUAGAGGCCUAGGACACCGCCCUUUCACGGCGGUAACAGGGGUUCGAAUCCCCUAGGGGACGCCAAUGCGCGGUAUGAGUGAAAGGCGUACCACUUAUCUGACGAAAGUCAGAGAAUAAUUAAGCUAAUUCAAAUGAGUUAUCUUACUUAUUAUGCUCUUUAACAAUCUGGAACAAGCUGAAAAAUUGAAAACAAAUCAAUAUAUCACCGAGGUAUAUUGAUGAGUCUCUCAAAAUCUCAAACCUUAAAGUUUGUCACGCAAAGUUUAUCUUUGAAAAAGACACUUUCGGGUUGUGA
rnacentral:misc_RNA from 1 species